rnacentral:lncRNA from 1 species
CUCGGCCGAAAAGAGGGAAACAACAAUUUAUGGAGUUCAGCAACCAUAUCUUCAAUUUCAGCAAGUCCUCCGACAUUGACCCAGCCAAUCCCAAUUUCUCGCAGUGGUCGAAGAAGCUCUGCGCAGUGCCGACCUUCAACGACAUCAUGAGCCCGGCCAAAUUUGACAACAUGUAUUUUCGCAACUCGCAGAGAGGGUUGGGUUUGUUAAGUACGGACCAGGCUUUGAUGACGGAUUGGAGGAUGAAGCCUCUUGUGGAUCUCUAA